AGAGUUUGAUUCUGGCUCAGGACGAACGCUGGCGGCGUGCCUAACACAUGCAAGUCGAACGGAGUUAAUGAUUUCGGUUGUUAACUUAGUGGCGAACGGGUGAGUAACGCGUGAACAACCUGACCCAAAGAGGGGGAUAACAUUUGGAAACAGAUGCUAAUACCGCAUAAGACCACAACGUCACAUGGCGAAGGGGUCAAAGGAGCAAUCCGCUUUGGGAGGGGUUCGCGUCCCAUUAGGUAGAUGGCGGGGUAACGGCCCACCAUGCCAACGAUGGGUAGCCGAGCUGAGAGGCUGAUCGGCCACACUGGAACUGAGACACGGUCCAGACUCCUACGGGAGGCAGCAGUGGGGAAUAUUGGGCAAUGGGCGCAAAGCCUGACCCAGCAACGCCGCGUGAGGGAAGAAGGUUUUCGGAUUGUAAACCUCUGUCGCAGAAGACGAAGGAAGUGACGGUAUUCUGUGAGGAAGCCCCGGCUAACUACGUGCCAGCCGCCGC
rnacentral:rRNA from 1 species